rnacentral:tRNA from 1 species
GCGCGAUAAAAUCGCAGCUUAGCUACUUCAAACAAUCGCCUUGCCAAGGCGAGGGUCGCGGGUUCAAAUCCCGUUUCGUGCU